CUGAUUCCUGUCAUCAAUCCUGGCCUAUGGCUGAGAACAUGUUGCAGGCAGCUCAUGUACUGGGAAUAAUGGACUUUCCUUCAGAGACACAAGUGACAGACGGGACGUGUUGGCUGAGCAGUAACCCACUGUCCAACAGUGAUACAGUGCUGAUCUGGGAGGCAGUUACCAUGUUUUCAAACUUUAACAUUCAGAGGGAGGCUGUGGAAAUACAAAUGCAAUCUAGAAAAGAAGAUGAAUGUGACGGGGAAGCUGACGGACUGAGAAAGAUGGACUCUCCACAUCAAAGAGGCCGAGACAACAUCUGGUGAGAAACCACAUGGGAACAUUGAG